GAGGGGGUGCUAGCGUUAUUCGGGAAUCAUUGGGGCGUAAAGGGUGUGUAGACGGCGCAUUAAGUCAACUGUUAAAUUCUCCGGGCCUAACCGGGAGGGUCAGCGGUAGAAACUAGUGUGCUAGAGGGUGAAAGAGAGAAGUGGAAUUCUCGGAGUAGCGGUAAAAUGCGUAGAUCUCGAGAGGAACACCGAUGGCGAAGGCAGCUUCUUGGUUCACUCCUGACGUUGAGACACGAAAGCGUGGGGAGCAAACAGGAUUAGAUACCCUGGUAGUCCACGCUGUAAACGAUGAUCACUAGACGUCAGUUCUGUUUUGCAGAAUUGGUGUCGUAGCUAACGCGUUAAGUGAUCCGCCUGGGGACUACGAUCGCAAGAUUA
rnacentral:rRNA from 1 species